CUCAGUUCGGAUUGGAGUCUGAACACCCGACUCCAUGAAGCUGGAUUCGCUAGUAAUCGCGCAUCAGCCACGGCGCGGUGAAUACGUUCCCGGGCCUUGUACACACCGCCCGUCAAGCCAUGGAAGCCGGGGGUGCCUGAAGUGCGCUGCCGCAAGGAGCGUCCUAGGGUAAAACCGGUGACUGGGGCUAAGUCGUAACAAGGUACC
rnacentral:rRNA from 1 species